UGAGAUGCACCUACUUCUCUUUGGGGAAACGUGAGGAAGCAGGAAUGCUGGAGAUGAGGGCUGUGGAGGCCCCACAGGGUCGCGGGGUGUCCCUUAUGCUGCGUUGAGGUGCAGGAUCAGAGAAGUAAAGAGACAGGACACUGAAGAACCGGUGAAGAGCAUCUGGACUCGGGGGGCCAUGCCACCUGUGAGCGGAGAUCAGCGACGGCCCCCAAAGGCCCAAGAGCAUCUGUAUUUAUUAGGGCUAUUUUGGACUCAGUAUUCACCUAAGCCCUCCAAAUUUGACAAUCCGGGCCUUUCACCGUCACUCAGGCAUGGACCAUCGCUGUUGCCCAUGCCAUGCCAUGCCAUCAACAGGCCCGGCACAUCCUGCCCACGCGGCGCAGUGCUGCAGCUUCCCUCUGGUCACGGGUCUGGCCGUCGGCUCGCCAAUUCCUCCAGCUUCCAUGGGACUCUCCGGGUGUUAGCACUGCAAGUUCCUCAGCAAACUGGGACUGUCGGUCGCCUACCUGGCAGCCAGUGAUAAGGGCCUGUGUCGUUGGCAUGACAGACCUGCCUUGGUUGAACGUUCAGCUGUCUUUGGAGUUCAGCCACCUUAGCAAGUCCUGGGUUUGUUCUUCAGAGUUUGCUGCUCGCCCAUUGCCUGGAUCGGGGGCUACUUUGUAAACCACCAGGAAGACUCCAGUGCUUCUGCUUAACUUUUAGACAUUUGUUAAUUGCCCUUGGCCUCUCAUUAAUCCCGUGUGGGUCAUCCAGGCAACGUAGUCACCACCAUCCACUCCCUGAGUUUCCGUUUCAAGACGUCCGCCCUGCCUGGGUCUCCUCACCUGCCAGGAACUUCCUCUCCAAGGGCUGCCCGUCCCAUCAAAAGUUCUAACACCAAAGAUCUAGCAACUAGGCUGCCAUUUUGUGCCUGUAGCCACCUUUGUGCCACCUAUGCCCGAAGAUGGGAACCUCGUUGCCAGCUGGGCAGUUGCAGGGUGAUCCUGUACCAGGGCUCCAUCUUACGACUUGCUGUCUUGGACCACUCUGGAACCCACUGUCUCAGGUUGGGUCCUCCAGGAAGCAGACCGUGAGAGGGAGUUGGCAGUGCCAGAGGUUUACAAGGGCUAACUUGCACUCAGGAAAGGGACGGGAAGGAAGCAGGGGUGGAGAGCAGGUUGGGCCAGACCUGACAGUCUCGAGCAGCCCAACAGGGAGGCCUGGAGCAAGGGUUGCUCAUUAGAAGGGCCUGCAUUGGGCAUGGGUGGUUAGGUCACAUGGUACCUGGCACACAGCAGGCCGUGCACUCCAACUUAACUGACUGGAUGAAUUAAUGCCAAGGAAAGGCGCUCUGGAGAGCGGGUAUGUGCUGAGCAGCACAGGGAAGGGCCCAGCAUCUGUCUUUGCACAGCCAGAACUGCGCUGUGCCCUGCAACAGGCCACGCGAGAGCUGCUUUGAGCUUGCAUGUGCAUUAGACAACUCUCAGAGGCACGAAGGUUUGCUGGCAGGGCGCCUCGUGACCUGUCGGUAUUGGUGUGAGCACAGCCUAUUGGUGUGAGCACAGCCUGGCAGGAGAGGGCAGAUCUUGGCACAAAGUAUCAUGUCAAAAAGCAUAUCGAAGCCCGGCCCCCUCCUAUAAAAGGCUCCUUGAGGGUAGGUGCACACUCAUGCCUUUGCUACUUG
rnacentral:lncRNA from 13 species